UACCAGCACCCCGAGUGGUCGGGACGUUUAUUGGGCCUAAAGCAUCCGUAGCCGGUUCUGCAAGUCUUCCGUUAAAUCCACCUGCUUAACAGAUGGGCCGCGGAAGAUACUAUAGAGCUAUGAGGCGGGAGAGGCAAGCGGUACUCGAUGGGUAGGGGUAAAAUCCGUUGAUCCAUUGAAGACCACCAGUGGCGAAGGCGGCUUGCCAGAACGCGCUCGACGGUGAGGGAUGAAAGCUGGGGGAGCAAACCGG
rnacentral:rRNA from 1 species